UCAAAAUAAUGUGAGCGGAGCACUACCAACAUCAUUGCACUAGGAUUGUGGGCUAAUGUGUUCCUGACAUGUGUGUGGACUUUUGACAAAUGGACUGAUGACAUGAUCUGAUGUUGACAGAUUAGCCAACCGAGAUUUCAAACCUUGGAAAGGCCCUACAGCGAUGUCCCAAAAUUGAUUAUAUCAUCACCACAUGUAUGAAAUCUAGUCCCCCUAAAAGGAAACUCCCAUGUGUAU